UACAGAGGUCUCAAGCGUUGUUCGGAUUCAUUGGGCGUAAAGGGUGCGUGGGCGGAACUUCAAGUCCGGUCUGAAAGCCCCCGGCUCAACCGGGGAGGGUGGCUGGAAACUGGGGUUCUUGAGGGCGAGAGAGGAGGGUGGAAUUCCUGGUGUAGCGGUGAAAUGCGUAGAGAUCAGGAGGAACACCCGGGGCGAAGGCGGCCCUCUGGCUCGACCCUGACGCUGAGGCGCGAAAGCGUGGGGAGCGAACGGG
rnacentral:rRNA from 1 species